AGACAAAGCUGGGUGGGGACUAGUCCCCAGGCUGCAGCCGCCGCUGCUACACACACACACAACGCCGCCGCCGCCGCCGCUCCGUGGGCGACUCCUACUACUGCUGGGCUGGGCUGGGCUGGGCGGGCUGCGCCGGCUCAUCUGCACAGACCAGCUCGGGAGAGAGGGGAAAAGCCACUCUCCUCUGACCAAGCCUCAGGAGCCAAGCCGGAUCUGCCAGUGAGCCUCAGGCUUUGGGAACUCGAGAGAGUGUCUGAAGACCCAUCCAGCACCCCGAUGGCCAGCAACAACACCGCCAGCAUAGCCCAAGCCAGGAAGCUGGUAGAGCAGCUUAAGAUGGAAGCCAACAUUGAUAGGAU